AGUGAACGCUGGCGGUAGGCCUAACACAUGCAAGUCGAACGGCAGCACAGUAAGAGCUUGCUCUUACGGGUGGCGAGUGGCGGACGGGUGAGGAAUACAUCGGAAUCUACUUUUUCGUGGGGGAUAACGUAGGGAAACUUACGCUAAUACCGCAUACGACCUACGGGUGAAAGCAGUGGAUCUUCGGACCUUGCGCGAUUGAAUGAGCCGAUGUCGGAUUAGCUAGUUGGCGGGGUAAAGGCCCACCAAGGCGACGAUCCGUAGCUGGUCUGAGAGGAUGAUCAGCCACACUGGAACUGAGACACGGUCCAGACUCCUACGGGAGGCAGCAGUGGGGAAUAUUGGGCAAUGGGCGCAAGCCUGAUCCAGCCAUACCGCGUGGGUGAAGAAGGCCUUCGGGUUGUAAAGCCCUUUUGUUGGGGAAGAAAAGCAGCAGAUUAAUACCCCGCUGUUCUGACGGUACCCAAAGAAUAAGCACCGGCUAACUUCGUG
rnacentral:rRNA from 1 species